UACGUAGGGGGCAAGCGUUAUCCGGAUUUACUGGGUGUAAAGGGAGCGUAGACGGUGUAUCAAGUCUGAAGUGAAACCCCACGGCUCAACCGUGGGCUUGCUUUGGAAACUGGUAGACUAGAGUACUGGAGAGGUAAGCGGAAUUCCUGGUGUAGUAGUGAAAUGCGUAGAUAUCAGGAAGAACAUCAGUGGCGAAGGCGGCUUACUGGACAGCAACUGACGUUGAGGCUCGAAGGCGUGGGGAG
rnacentral:rRNA from 1 species